CAAGAGGCAUGGGGUUGCUCGCUGGUUCUAGUUAUUCUUAAUAUUAGUUAUUUUGUUUUAAAUAUUUUACAGAUGACAGUAUGAACUAUGCAGAAGACCAGUCUUUGGCAGAGGGAAGUUAUUAUCAGAGCAGCACUGUGCAGUGUUACUUGCCCUUCAUCAAAUGAGAUUUUAAAUGGAUAGAAGAUGUCUGUUAACCAAUUAGUCGAGAUGCAGCUUCAUUGAAAUCAAUGGAGCGAUGCCCAAUUACAACAGCAGGGAAUCUAACCCAUAAUAUUUUUGUGAGGAGACAUGAAGAUAAAAAAGAUCUCUUUGAAAAAUGGAAACAAUAGUUCAUUUUGUGUUGGGGAAAAGGCCUUGCAGCUGAGCACUCAGAAGAAACCCUACAAUUACAAGCAUUGUGAGUGUUACUUUGAAGAAAAUCAAAUGUUUCAAGGCCAUACUAUGCCAUCAGUUUUCAAACAAUUUGAAGGUGGGAGUUCUGUUUUGAAAAAGUCUGCCACGAUACAGUCAUCCAUAAAGAAAUACAUUUUAAUACCUGGUGUGUGUGUGUGUGUGUGUGUGUGUGUGUGUGUGUGUGUGUGUGGUAGGGGNNNNNNNNNNNNNNNNNNNNGUGUGUGUGUGUGUGUGUGUGUGUGUGUGUGUGUGUGUGUGUGUGUAGGUAGGGGGGAGGGAAUACCCUAGCAAUAUCCUUCUCAAUAAGUUAUCUUAAAUUCCAUUUCAUUUUUACUUACAUCUAACCAGAGAAUCAAUACAUAAUUCUCUAGCAAUAUCAUGUGAAAAUGCAUAGUAAAUUACAUGUUUUAACAGUUACUUAGUAGAAUAAUUAUACUGGAAUUUACUAAGCAAAUCCAUAGAUUACUUAUCACAUAAUUUGCAAUUUCUAGAUCUUAUCAUGCAGUUAUAAUUUAGAAGAGAGAACUGUGAAGAUAAUUAGCAUUUGAUGAUAUAGUACAGUAAUUCCCAGAUAUUAUACUAAUACGUUAUUAUGUAGUUAAAAAGUUAUUUGUGACCCAUUGUGAUUCAGACGCAGGUUUCUGGUGAUCUGGGUUUUAUCCCCAGCUUUUUUGUUCCUGUGUUCACAUCAGUCAAGGCUACAUACUGCAGAUCUUAACUGAGCAAAACUCUCACUGAAACCAGGAAGAAUUUGAUCCUUAACUCACCUCAGGUUGCUUAUCUAUAAAAUGGGGGAUGAUGAUACAGUGGGUGAGGUUACAGAGUAGUCUGGUUUUUUUUGCCAGUCCAUAAAACAUCAGUGGCUCUAACAGCACUCCCCAAAUUAUGGCCCUGAUUCAGCAAAGUACUUCAACACCCAUAUAAAAGGUUACAGCCCUGAUAAGCUCCCCCUACUGGCCUCUCUCCAGGCUACUGUACUGGACCCAAACAUUAGGUCCUUCAUGUUCUUGGCUUGCUGGGCUGGGCAGAGUUUAGGCACUGUUUCUCUGGCUAUGGGCCUCUAGGCACACACUCCAGCUGCAGACCCCACAUCUGACACCCCUCUUGGAGUGCCUGCUCUCCAGUUGCUCUUGCACUGAAGUUGUGGACUCUCUGAUUCCCUUCUCAGGGACUAUGCGCCUGUGUAAACACGUAACACAGACUCUCCAGCGGAAUUUCUAAACACACACUUUACUCCUAGGGAAACUACAAGAGAUAGCAGAUCUAUAUUCGGGUCUUAGUCAGUGUU
ensembl:lncRNA